GAUGAACGCUAGCGGGAGGCUUAACACAUGCAAGUCGAGCGGGAUCCCCUUCGGGGGUGAGAGCGGCGCACGGGUGCGUAACGCGUAUGCAACCUGCCUUAUACAGGGGGAUAGCCCAUGGAAACGUGGAUUAAUAUCCCAUAGGAUGAUAGGUCCGCAUGGAUUUAUGAUUAAAACUGAGGUGGUAUAAGAUGGGCAUGCGUCUGAUUAGGUAGUUGGUAGGGUAACGGCCUACCAAGCCGACGAUCAGUAGGGGUUCUGAGAGGAUUACCCCCCACACUGGUACUGAGACACGGACCAGACUCCUACGGGAGGCAGCAGUGAGGAAUAUUGGUCAAUGGGCGAGAG
rnacentral:rRNA from 1 species